rnacentral:rRNA from 1 species
UACAGAGGUCCCAAGCGUUGUUCAGAUUCACUGGGCGUAAAGGGUGCGUAGGUGGUCAGGUAAGUCUGAUGUGAAAUCUCUGAGCUCAACUCAGAAAUGGCAUUGGAUACUAUCUGGCUAGAGGGUCGGAGGGGGGACUGGAAUUCUCGGUGUAGCAGUGAAAUGCGUAGAUAUCGAGAGGAACACCAGUGGCGAAGGCGAGUCCCUGGACGACUCCUGACACUGAGGCACGAAAGCUAGGGGAGCAGACAGG